AGAGUUUGAUCCUGGCUCAGGACGAACGCUGGCGGCGUGCUUAACACAUGCAAGUCGAACGAGAGGAGAAGAGAAGCUUGCUUCUUUUCGAAUCGAGUGGCAAACGGGUGAGUAACACGUAAACAACCUGCCUUCAGGAUGGGGACAACAGACGGAAACGACUGCUAAUACCGAAUACGCUCAAUGGGCCGCAUGGCCUAUUGAGGAAAGGGUGGCCUCUACCUGUAAGCUAUCGCCUGAAGAGGGGUUUGCGUCUGAUUAGGCAGUUGGUGAGGUAACGGCCCACCAAACCUACGAUCAGUAGCCGGUCUGAGAGGAUGAACGGCCACACUGGAACUGAGACACGGUCCAGACUCCUACGGGAGGCAGCAGUGGGGAAUCUUCCGCAAUGGGCGAAAGCCUGACGGAGCAACGCCGCGUGAGUGAUGACGGCCUUCGGGUUGUAAAGCUCUGUGAUCGGGGACGAACGGUUGCAGGAAUAAUAUUCCUGUGAAGUGACGGUACCCGAAUAGCAAGCCACGGCUAACUACGUGCCAGCAGCCGCGGU
rnacentral:rRNA from 1 species